AGCGGAGAGACGUAGGGACGCCAAAAGUGGAAGGAAACGUUACACGGCCCAUGGCGCCUUCAUCUGAGGAGACGGAGAGAGAGGACAGGGGCUGGCGGGGCGGAAUUAGCAGCCGGAGGGCGGAGCUUGCGCAGACCUGAGCUGAGGCUGAGAUGGCUCACUCCUGUAAUCCCAGCACUUUGAGAAGUUAAGUGGGCAAAUCAGCCUGGACAUCAUGAGUUUGAGACCAGCCUGGACAACAUGGCCAGGCCUGGUGGCUC